rnacentral:tRNA from 1 species
GCUGGUGGGUGGGUCAGUGGGUAGAGCCUAGGCCUUGUGAUCAUAGGGUCCUGGGUUCGAAUCUCACCAGAUGCA